GGAGCAGUGCAUUGUGUCCUGCGUGUUUGACAGAGAAUUCGGCAUCAAAAGCAUGAAAAAAUGGUUGUAAACUGUGCGGCGGUUGGGUGCACCAACUACAGAGGGAAGAAGGCAGGAUUGUGGUUCCACAGGUUUCUGGCCGAUGCUGAACGCAGAGAGAAGUGGAUAGCUGCACUUCGGCGUGCUGGUUCAGAACACAGAAACACGGAGUGGCGAGCAUCAAGAAACAGUCAUAUAUGCAACGAACAGUUCGUUGGAGGAGCUGUCAGCAACGACCCCGUCUCUCCAGCUUACACGCCAUCUAUCUCCCAACACGUCCCCCCAAAAACGACGGCGCGAGCGAGCUCUUCAAAGCUACAUGCGCAGAAAAAGAAGGGCAGCUGCCAGGGUGUUGUCAACCCUGCAUGCUAAUUGCCGGGAUGGUCAGCCGCCAGAAGGCAUAGGUGACCUGGAAAUGGGAGUUGAAGGAAAAAACUGUGUGGUGGAUGACACUGAAGAUCUGGGAGGAUCAGACGGAGGAGGUUAUGCAACUGACAGAGCAGAUGUCGGCGAAACCCAUGGAGAAGGGGAAUUACAAACUGAGAUGCCAUCGGGACCAGCUGUCGAUUCGAGGCUGGAUCAAGCAGCUCAAACAGACUUGUCUUCAUCUGACAUAUCUGCUAUCGUUGCAGACAAUAUUUCUCUUCGAGGUGAAGUGUCACAGCUGAGAGAAACAGUGAACAGGCUGUCCAUCAGUGAAGACAGCUUCAGUUGUGAUAACAAAGCCCUGACCUCUGACCUGGCCGGCGCCCGAGACGACAGCAUGAGGACCCAGAACGACCUGCUGUACGCCGAGAACGUCCGGGUGGGCCGGGACAAGUACAAGACGCUCCGGCAGAUCCGGCAGGGCAACACCAGGCAGAAGAUCGACCAGUUCGAGUCAAUGUAGGCCCCCGUAGGCCCCUGUAGGCCCCCGUAGGCCCCUGUAGGCCCCGAGGGGCGGGGGGGGCGGGGGCUCCCGGGACCCGGGGACCCGGCUCAUGGAUUCACUCCAGUCUGAAGAUCCUCCAGGAACAAACCUGCAGCAGGAAAUCCGCCUCCAGCUGAUUGACUGUGAUUCAACAGCAGCUCGGUUCUGUCAUGUGGACCCAGCUGAACCUGAAACCCAAUAAAACCACCUGAGACCCUGCUGCACCGCUCAUUCCCUGCUCUCAUGGAUUCAUCCUGUCAUUCAUCCUCUCAUUCCUGUGACUCUUGCUCUCGUUCUCUGUUCCUCGUCCGGCUUCUCUCCGUCUCUCUGAUAAUCUCUCGGUUAAACUUCAGUGAUUUUAUGGUUUUAUCUGCAGCUCUGGACUCUUUCACUCACCAACCUUUACACCAGAGCUGCCUUUGAUCUGAAGUCCUGUUUAUGUUGGAACAUCGCGCAGAACGUCUGGUUCCUUCACACCAGGGAGUCAAACCGAAGCUCACACUGAAAACAAAUGUUUGUGAAAUUCACGGAAAAUUACUGUAGAAUGCAGUG